CCCCCUCAAGAUGAGAUUUCCCAUAGCGUAAGCUAGUAAGAUCCCUGAAAGAUGAUCAGGUUGAUAGGUUCGAGGUGGAAGCAUGGUGACAUGUGGAGCUGACGAAUACUAAUAGAUCGAGGACUUAACCAUAUAAUAUGUA
rnacentral:rRNA from 1 species